GCAGUGUACCCGCGGCAAGACGGAAAGACCCCGUGAACCUUUACUAUAGCUUGACACUGAACACUGGUCCUUGAUGUGUAGGAUAGGUGGGAGGCUUUGAAGCGUGGACGCCAGUCUGCGUGGAGCCAACCUUGAAAUACCACCCUUUAAUGGCUGGUGUUCUAACGUAGACCCGUGAUCCGGGUUGCGGACAGUGUCUGGUGGGUAGUUUGACUGGGGCGGUCUCCUCCCAAAGAGUAACGGAGGAGCACGAAGGUUAGCUAAUCCUGGUCGGACAUCAGGAGGUUAGUGCAAUGGCAUAAGC
rnacentral:rRNA from 1 species